rnacentral:lncRNA from 1 species
GACCCAUGCGGCCCGGAGUGCAAAGCCUCCUGGCGAAGAACAGCAAGAGCCCGCGGAAGGGACAGCGCGGAUGGCCCGAGCCCUGGACCUGGGGAGCUGUGGCCUCAAGUGGACCGCGCCCCCCUGCCGGCUUGGCGCCUGACCGGGCCGCGACCCCAGACUCCCGCGGAGGGGCCGGGGCAGGGACGGAGCAAAGCCGAGAGGAGCAGGACUCACUAGUCCCCCAGAGGACCAAGACCCCGGCGUUUCGGGGUGAGCUAGUAAGAUUUCACGGUAGGGACAAGGCUCAGAAAAGCUAAAUUGAGAAUUGGGAUUUGGAGGGGGGAAUUAUCUGAAAUUUCAGAAUUUUCAUUUCUAUUUGGAAACAUAGGAAUAACCAAAAUUAGGAGGAAAUAUACUGUUUCAUUUUGCCUCCUUGUAAUCCUAUUAUGCCUUAUAAGGUCAUAACCUGAGAUUGUGCCUGGCUGCCUUCAUUAAUCCAUCGUAAACGUGAGGACUGACUGCCAGGGAGCACACUAACGCUUCACGUAUGCUAAUCAUUUUACAGUUUACCAAGCACGGCCACAUCCCAGUCUACUUUGAGCUUCACAGCCACCCUUGAGUCAGGCAAGGAAGGUAACAUUCCUUUUCCCAUUUCAGCAGGUAGAAAAUUCAAGCUCAGAGAGGGGAGGUAUCUGCAGAGAGGGGAAGUCACCCUGCAGGUAGGAAGCAGCAGAGUCCCUACUCGGCCCGACACGCUAGCACGGCCGACUGGGGCGCGGCGUGGAUUCCUCUAGGCUGGGGUCACCAACUUCUCAAGGGGCAAAGGAGAGUCCUAGCCCCCGCCCAAAGAAUUUGUGCCUGUUCAUGAUGAAUCACGCUAGACACGUUUGUCACCCGUUUGUGCUCUUUCAUCACAGCUUCUUCUCUUUCUUACUUCUCUCCUGGGGGCCAAACUGGGAAGGAAAGGCUAAGCCACGGGGCUUCCUGCUUCGUGCUUGUGGGUUUCUGGGGUCCUACUAACCACUCCUCUAAUCGAAUGUCCUGAAGCCCAGCGACUCGACGGAGAGGCCAAAGGUGCGAGACCACUAGCCAAACAGGCUUCUAGUCCUCACCUCCCGGCAAUUCGCUGUGUGAAGGUGGGCGAGUCAUGUCCCAUCUCUCGAGUCCCCAUCUUAGAGCCGGUCCCCAGCAGACCUUUAAGCUUCCUUCCUACUCUGCCAUAUGGCUCUGAGCUCCGGUGCAAAGGCGGCUGGGCAGUGGGUCGCGCGGACCUUGCCCAGAGUGGUCUGUCUGGGCCGCGCACUGCUGGCUUAGCUGCCUUUUCACUCUCGGGACUCAACAGUGGACAUUGCACCUGGGGAAGAAAUGGCCGCGCGGAAGUUAUUUAAGGACUCUUCCUGGAAGGAGUCACCUGAGCGGACCUGAAUUCCAUCUGAGGACGGAGGACAGAUUCCGGGCCCUGACCCUGGCCCUGCUCUUCGCGCAGAUCCAGGACUGGCUAUCAGUCGCUCUGAGGAUGCGACCUACUUGUCGCCAGCUUCCACUUGGUUCCGCGCCAGGACAGGUUUUACUUUCAUUUCUCCCGCGCGCGCCUCCGACUGCUGGGGAGGUCAAGGACAGCUAGGCGUCGGCCCACGGCCAGGGAAGGUCCCGUGGUCUGGACUCGUUCCUUCCAGUCUCCACCAGUCCUGGGGGGUGGGGCGCGGCGGGGGUGUUCGUUCUCCAGAGAACUCUGCGACUGUACCUCGCUGCCACCUCGCUGCCUCCUCGCUGCCCUUUACAAAAGCUCGUGAUUCCGUGGGGGAAACUUGAGCUGUGGCUCUGCCAGGAGGAUCGCGAAGCAAGUGCCCUUGGUUCAAACUCCUCUUUGAGCUGCAGGCAGCUUCAAAAAGGAAAGCAAGCCCAGGAGUGUAGGGAGACUCAGAGGCUAGGCUCUGCCAGCCUCGGGUGCCUAUGCCAGCAACCUCUUGGCUGUGACAAGAAUUCCCACCUGAGAGUCUUGGCAUGCACUUUAUCAGCCUGGUGCACUUUGCCGCUCUGGCACUUAGAGAUCUGUCACUUGAGAACCAAGUCAAUUCUUUAAGUAAAAUCUUGGAUUGGCAGCUCAAAGUAUUUUCCUAGAAAGCCCCUAUCUUGGAGUGAGUGAGUGUGUGCGCGAGCGCGCACCCCGCUUGCAUGGGUGAGUAGCAGGGGCUAGAGUGCUCCCCAAAGCUUCGUGGGUUUAAGUCGAAAAAAGAUAAGGAGUUUGUUAAAUCUGGGCAUCUAUGUUUUUUCUCGUGAAAUCUCGAGUUUGUUUAAUUAAUCAUCGUUAACGACAAAAAAAAAUCACUAGAAUGCAUUUCUGGUUCAGUGGUUCUAUGGAGAAGGAAAUGCUGCAGUGGGAGUUCUGAUCCUGGCAAUUUAUUAACAUAAGUUGCAUCCAUUCAAGUGGCAGUGAUUGUAGAUUCACGUUGAGCAAGGACAGUACAAGGAAGGAAGGAAGUGAAGGAAGAAACAUCUUUAAAUUUCUGGCAAGAAAAGAGAAAAGAAAAAGAAAAAAAAAUCCUUGUUAAUGAAGAUCUACUUUUUUUGUGUGCUCCAGAAUUUCAAAAGGUCAGAUUACAAAUAAACCUCCAAACCACUGUAAUAAAUGUGUACAUCCUGACAUUAGGGAGACACACAUACACAUAUGCUAAAGGGUUUUUGCGUAAUGGUGUUUCAACUUCUUCACAUUCCAAUUGAAUGAUUUUUAGGCCCUAUAUCCAAGCCUGAUUCUUAGUAAAGUUUGGAGUUUAAAAAAA